rnacentral:rRNA from 1 species
AACGAACGCUGGCGGCAUGCCUAACACAUGCAAGUCGAACGAGACCUUCGGGUCUAGUGGCGCACGGGUGCGUAACGCGUGGGAACCUGCCCUUAGGUUCGGAAUAACUCCCCGAAAGGGGUGCUAAUACCGGAUAAUGUCUUCGGACCAAAGAUUUAUCGCCUUUGGAUGGGCCCGCGUUGGAUUAGCUAGUUGGUAGGGUAAAAGCCUACCAAGGCGACGAUCCAUAGCUGGUCUGAGAGGAUGGUCAGCCACACUGGGACUGAGACACGGCCCAGACUCCUACGCGAGGCAGCAGUGGGGAAUAUUGGAAAAUGGGCGAAAGCCUGAUCCAGCAAUGCCGCGUGAGUGAUGAAGGCCUUAGGGUUGUAAAGCUCUUUUAACCGGGAUGAUAAUGACAGUACCGGGAGAAUAAGCCCCGGCUAACUCCGUG